UCCGUCCCAGGCCCAGAGAUUACAACAGGGCUCCCCACAGGGAUCCCCGUCUCCCCAGAUGGGAAGCUGCGACUCCUCAGCUUCGAUCUGGAUCUGACAGAUCCUGGUAAUUCGGCUCCUCCUCUUUAAAAUCCUAUGGAUCUUCUCGCUCUCGCCUUAUAGAGCGAGAAGACCAGGGAGCCCUCCCCCCCUUGAAGGGGGCUCAAUUCAGCACCCAACUCCCGCGCCUAAAAAAACAUCGGCUCCCUUCGAUCACUCUCAGGUGAUCCCAACCUCGCCCGAGGAGCUCAGCUGACUCCCGCCCCCAGGACGCGCGCCUAUAACGUAACUUCCGGGUUCUCAGAAGCCGAUGUUUGCUCGCGCAGGAACGUCGCCCGGCCGGCCACUGGGAGGAGGGACCCACCGGCUUCCAGAAAGUGGCAGAGCUGGUGGUCCGGCUCGCAGGAAGCCAUGUGCUACCUAACCUGCUCCGUAGUGGCUCCUUGGUGUCAGAGGAGACAAGAGGAGCAACAGAGAAGACGAAGAAGCACUGCUAAGAGGUAGUGGGCCGCUUCCAUUCACUCAUUUAACAAAAAGGUGUUGAGCCCUUACUCUAUGCCUGGCCUUGGGCUAGGUGCUGGGGUUACUUAGGUAAGUACAACACCGUCCUUGAAGGUCAUAAUCCAGCGGGGGCGAUGGGUCAGUAAAUAGAUAAUUAAUACCAGAAAAGCGAUUGAUGAUUUGUUCGAAGCUCAGUCGUUCUCACGUGAGCAGACACACACUCUGUCAGACACUGUUCCAGGCUGGGGCGGCACCAUAGAGAACAGAACAGAUAAAAAAUGCCCUUCGCUCCUGACGUGUAGCCAGGUACGUGGUCACAGUGCUAUGGCAGCACGAAGGAGCAGGGAACAAAUACCUGAAAAGCAGGCAGGAAUGAGGGACAAGUGACUUUGGAGGUAGGUGAGGAGUCCAGAGCAGCAGAACAGCGAAGGUUCGGAUGCUACUGCCACUGGGUUUCUCUCUUCCAUUUGCCUAGGCGACCCAUACUGCAGUCUUUUCUCUCCUGGGGCUCAUUGACUUUGCUACCUUGCUAAAGUGGAAGGCUCUUGGCCAGCGUCACCCUUUCCUGGUUUUAAUCGGUAGUCCCCAGUUAUGACUAAGAGCGCCCCCUUUACCCUCAAAAGAGCCCAGGUGCGCACCAUGCAUUGUGUGGAGAGUCCACACUUGCUGAAUUUCCCUGACAGGCCUAGAGAGUGAACCCUCACCAGCCCUUGCCGAAGGCUCUCUGGGCCUGGACUGCCCCUCCCACCGCCCGUCUGAUUUGCGGUAAAACAUAACUUCCCUCUGGCCGGGUCUUGCUUCUCCCGCCGUCUAUGCCGCCAGGGGCGCUGCGCUCAGGUUAGGUCCCUGGAGGGAAGGUGCCGAGCUGGGAGGUAGGCAGGUCUCUGGCCUGGGAAAAGUAAUCCCAGCCAGGGAACUGCCCUGCCCUUACUUAAAACUCCAUCUCAGAUCACCUGCAUUAGGGAAACACAAAUAGGUCCAGACAAAGGUCAAAUAACCAGAA
rnacentral:lncRNA from 1 species